AUUGAACGCUGGCGGCAGGCUUAACACAUGCAAGUCGAGCGGAGAUGAGGUGCUUGCACCUUAUCUUAGCGGCGGACGGGUGAGUAAUGCUUAGGAAUCUGCCUAUUAGUGGGGGACAACAUUCCGAAAGGAAUGCUAAUACCGCAUACGUCCUACGGGAGAAAGCAGGGGAUCUUCGGACCUUGCGCUAAUAGAUGAGCCUAAGUCGGAUUAGCUAGUUGGUGGGGUAAAGGCCUACCAAAGCGACGAUCUGUAGCGGGUCUGAGAGGAUGAUCCGCCACACUGGGACUGAGACACGGCCCAGACUCCUACGGGAGGCAGCAGUGGGGAAUAUUGGACAAUGGGGGGAACCCUGAUCCAGCCAUGCCGCGUGUGUGAAGAAGGCCUUAUGGUUGUAAAGCACUUUAAGCGAGGAGGAGGCUACUGAGACUAAUACUCUUGGAUAGUGGACGUUACUCGCAGAAAAAGCACCGGCUAACUCUGUGCCAGCCGCCGCUGUAAUAC
rnacentral:rRNA from 1 species